ensembl:lncRNA
CACAAAGAGCGCUGGCUACUUUCACCAAUCCCUUCAGACAAAAAGGAAAAAAAAGAGAGAGAAAAAAAAAAAAGCCCUGAUCCUUGUCUUUAUAUCAGUGAGGUUGGAGUUCUUGCUAAUAAAGGAGCUUUUCCCAUGAUGCAGUGUGAUAAGGAUUGGCCUACAUGUAGCCCAGCAAGCCACUGCUGAUGUUUUCUUGAUUAGGUGUCUUAUCUUCCAUUGAGCUGCAUCUGAUGAAGGUUGCUGACGGCGUAAUGGCAGGGAAAGCGUCGGACAGCUCCAUAAAAUGGCAGCUAUGCUAUGACAUGUCAGCCAGGACCUGGUGGAUGUGCACAUGCUGACAUGCUGCAAAGUUCAGGCUGUGCAAAGUUUCAAGCCCCAGCUCGGUGACUCCGCAAGGCUCCCAAAUGCCGCAGCCAGCUAGAUAGUGUUUCUCUGCUAUUGUAGUGGCAUGGGCCUUCUUAGGAAACAGAGGCAAGGACAGCAUGGGAUUUCUCUUUCUC